ACGACCAUAUCCCAUUGAAACCGGUUCCAGUAGGAUCACCGAACUUAAGCAACGCCGAGCCUGGGCAGUACCUAGAUGGGUGACAGCUUGGGAAUACCAGGUGCUGUAAG